UGGGGAAUUUUGGACAAUGGGCGCAAGCCUGAUCCAGCAAUGCCGCGUGCAGGAUGAAGGCCUUCGGGUUGUAAACUGCUUUUGUACGGAACGAAAAGGCUCUGGCUAAUACCUGGGGCACAUGACGGUACCGUAAGAAUAAGCACCGGCUAACUACGUGCCAGCAGCCGCGGUAAUACGUAGGGUGCGAGCGUUAAUCGGAAUUACUGGGCGUAAAGCGUGCGCAGGCGGUUUUGUAAGACAGAGGUGAAAUCCCCGGGCUCAACCUGGGAACUGCCUUUGUGACUGCAAGGCUGGAGUGCGGCAGAGGGGGAUGGAAUUCCGCGUGUAGCAGUGAAAUGCGUAGAUAUGCGGAGGAACACCGAUGGCGAAGGCAAUCCCCUGGGCCUGCACUGACGCUCAUGCACGAAAGCGUGGGGAGCAAACAGGAUUAGAUACCCUGGUAGUCCACGCCCUAAACGAUGUCAACUGGUUGUUGGGUCUUAAUUGACUCAGUAAACGAAGCUAACGCGUGAAGUCGACCGCCUGGGGAGUACGGCCGCAAGGUUGAAACUUAAAUGAAUUGAC
rnacentral:rRNA from 1 species